UUAACUGAAACCAAAACAGAGGUAUAUUACUGUUAAUAAUACAAUUGAAUUAUAUUCCAGUUAAG
rnacentral:tRNA from 1 species